rfam:Dipodomys ordii contig_54257, whole genome shotgun sequence.
GGUGGCUCAGUGGUAGAGCACUUGCCUCGUAUGCAUGAGGCCUGGAUUUGAUUCUUCAGCACCA